ACUUUCAGCAGUGGAUGUCUAGGCUCGCACAUCGAUGAAGAACGCUGCGAACUGCGAUACGUAAUGCGAAUUGCAGGAUUCAGUGAGUCAUCGAAAUUUUGAACGCAUAUUGCACUUCCGGGUUAGUCCUGGAAGUAUGCCUGUAUCAGUGUCCGUACAACAAACUUGGCUUUCUCCUUCCGUGUAGUCGGUGGAGGAGAUGCCAGAUGUGAAGUGUCUUGCGGGUUGGUUUUCGGACCGACUGCGAGUCCUUUUAAAUGUACUAAACUGUACUUCUCUUUGCUCCAAAAGUGGUGGCAUUGCUGGUUGUGGACGCUGCUAUUGUAGCGAGUUGGCGACCGGUUUGUCUGCUGCGGCGUUAAUGGAGAGAAAUGCUCGAUUCGUGGGUAUGGGUUGGGCUUCGGCUGGAACAAUGCGCUUAUUGGGUGAUUUUUCCUGCUGUGGCGUGAUGGACUGGUGAACCAUGGCUCUUUAGCUUGGCAUUUGAAUCGGCUUUGCUGUUGCGAAGUAGAGUGGCGGCUUCGGCUGCCGAGGGUCGAUCCAUUUGGGAAAUGUUGUGUACUUCGGUAUGCAUCUCAAUUGGACCUGAUAUCAGGCAAGAUUACCCGCUGAACUUAAGCAUAUUAAUAAGCGGAGGAAAAGAAACUAACAAGGAUUCCCCCUAGUAACGGCGAGUGAAGCGGGAAGAGCUCAAGCUUAAAAUCUCCCGUGCAAGUUUUGCGCGGCGAAUUGUAGUCUAUAGAGGCGUGAUCAGUGUGGGCGCUUGGGGCAAGUUCCUUGGAAGAGGACAGCAUGGAGGGUGAUACUCCCGUUCAUCCCCGAAAUUUGGGUCGUGGAGGUACGAUUCCGUUUUCUUUGAGUCGCGUUGUUUGGGAAUGCAGCGCAAAGUAGGUGGUAAAUUCCAUCUAAAGCUAAAUACUUGGGUGCGAGGACCGGCUAGGCGAACAAAGUUCCGUGAGGGGAAACGAUGGAAAAGACCUUUGUAAAAGAGAGGUUAAAGAGUACCCUGAAACUGCUGAAAGGGAACCGAAUCGUUUCCAGUGUCUAUAAUCCGUGGUAUAUUUCAUUAGCGAGUGUGUGCGUGCGUGUGCUGUGGCAGCGGCUUUUUUUGCUGCGCUCGGCGUGUGUGCUGUGUGUGCUUGCUGGUGCCCUGUGCUGCGGUGGGACGUCAAGGUCAGUUCGUAUGCUGCGGGAAAUGGCCGCCGAGGAGGUAGGGCUUACGCUUGCGUUUGUCUGUUAUAUCUUGGUGGACGAGUAGUCGCGGUUGGGACUGAGGUGCCUACAACGUGUUUUUGAGUGGGCCUGUGUCUCUGUGUGCGCCGUGUGCGGAUAGCUUGCUAUGCGUGUGUGGUUGUGUGUGGAUUGAUGUGGGUUUUAACUUGUUGCCGUUCGGGACGUUGACGAAAUGGAGCGAUUUGACCCGUCUUGAAACACGGACCAAGGAGUCUAACAUGUGUGCAAGUGUUAGGGUGUGGAAACCCCAGCGCGAAAUGAAAGUGAAGGGCAGCGUAAGUUGUCUGAGGUAGGAAAUGCUGCGGGCUUCGGUCUGCGGUGUGGCACUAUCGACCGAUCAUGAACCUUCGUGGUGAAAGAUUUGAGUUUGAGCACAUAUGUUGGUACCCGAAAGAUGGUGAACUAUGCCUGAGUAGGGUGAAGCCAGGGGAAACUCUGGUGGAAGCUCGUAGCGAUUCUGACGUGCAAAUCGAUCGUCAAACUUGGGUAUAGGGGCGAAAGACUAAUCGAACCAUCUAGUAGCUGGUUCCCUCCGAAAUUUCCCUCAGGAUAGCAGCAACUUAUUUACGAUAGUUUUAUGAGGUAAAGCGAAUGAUUAGAGGAUUCGGGGAAGAAACUUCCUCGACCUAUUCUCAAACUUUAAAUCUGUAAGACCUGCAGGUUUCUUAAUUGAACUUGUGGAUGUGAAUAUCAAGUUGCUAGUGGCCAUACGGGGUAAGCUCGUCUGGCGAUGCGGGAUGAACCGAACGCAAAGUUAAAGUGCCAAAAUGCUCGCUCACCUAGAUACCAUAAAAGGUGUUGGUUCAUUUAGACAGCAGGACGGUGGCCAUGGAAGUCGGAAUCCGCUAAGGAGUGUGUAACAACUCACCUGCCGAAUGAACUAGCCCUGAAAAUGGAUGGCGCUAAAGCGGGCUACUUAUACUUUGCCGUUAGCGCGAUAGCAUUUAUAAUGUACGCGUUAAUGAGUAGGAGGGCGUGAAGGUCGUGAAGAAGCUCGUGGCCGUGAGCCUGAGUGAAACCGGCCUUUAUUGCAGAUCUUUGGUGGUAGUAGCAAAUAUUCAAAUGCGAACUUUGAAGACUGAAGUGGAGAAAGGUUCCGUGUGGAUCAGUAAUUGGGACACGGGGUGAGUCGAUCCUAAGAGAUAGGAUAAAUUCCGGUUUGAAAGCUGGGGCUGUUUUGAAGGCGUGGGGGUCGUCCUUGCGUUUUGUAUGCAGCCUCGUGUAUCGAAAGGGAAUCAGGUUAAUAUUCCUGAACCGAGACGUGAUA
rnacentral:rRNA from 1 species